rnacentral:ncRNA from 1 species
UUACUCUCUGACUGUCGCUGCAAAAUCAGUGACCGGACUUGGCCGUCCGAAUU